GACGAACGCUGGCGGCGUGCUUAACACAUGCAAGUCGAACGGAAAGGCCCUGCUUGCAGGGUACUCGAGUGGCGAACGGGUGAGUAACACGUGGGUGAUCUGCCCUGCACUUCGGGAUAAGCUUGGGAAACUGGGUCUAAUACCGGAUAGGAGCCAUCUUUAGUGUGGUGGUUGGAAAGUUUUUUCGGUGUAGGAUGAGCUCGCGGCCUAUCAGCUUGUUGGUGGGGUAAUGGCCUACCAAGGCGGCGACGGGUAGCCGGCCUGAGAGGGUGUACGGCCACAUUGGGACUGAGAUACGGCCCAGACUCCUACGGGAGGCAGCAGUGGGGAAUAUUGCACAAUGGGGGCAAGCCUGAUGCAGCGACGCCGCGUGGGGGAUGAAGGCCUUCGGGUUGUAAACUCCUUUCGCUAGGGACGAAGCUUUUUGUGACGGUACCUAGAUAAGAAGCACCGGCUAACUACGUG
rnacentral:rRNA from 1 species